AUUGAACGCUGGCGGCAUGCCUUACACAUGCAAGUCGAACGGCAGCACGGGUGCUUGCACCUGGUGGCGAGUGGCGAACGGGUGAGUAAUAUAUCGGAACGUACCUUAUCGUGGGGGAUAACGCAGCGAAAGCUGCGCUAAUACCGCAUACGCCCUGAGGGGGGAAAGCGGGGGGACCGUAAGGCCUCGCGCGAUUAGAGCGGCCGAUAUCUGAUUAGCUUGUUGGUGGGGUAAAGCCCACCAAGGCGACGAUCAGUAGCUGGUCUGAGAGGACGAUCAGCCACACUGGGACUGAGACACGGCCCAGACUCCUACGGGAGGCAGCAGUGGGGAAUUUUGGACAAUGGGGGGCAACCCUGAUCCAGCAAUGCCGCGUGAGUGAAGAAGGCCUCGGUGUAAGCUCUUUGUCUAGGGAAGGAAACAAGCAGCUCUAACACA
rnacentral:rRNA from 1 species